CAGCGAAGCAAUGGUUUGGAAUGGUCAAAACGGACACCUUCUCGCUACCUGGCUUAAGGAAGAAGGGACGAUAUUCGUGCACAGACAACUUGCUGAGAUAACGGUUUUGAUGAUGAUAAGAGGUUCUCGUUGUCUGUUGCAUGCCUGAUGGUCAAUAGCACAUGCAAAUCAACCUCGUGGGGGUAUCAAACCAACAAUUGCUCGUUUCUUUAUGAAGCAACAAAUGAGCAACACAAUGGCUCCAUAAAUAAGAUAUUCCUUUUAUUCUUCGGUUCGGACACAUUCUACGUAACAGGCUCAUCAGACUUUUUGUUGCGCUGGCGGCGCUUCCGGCGCGUCUUGCUGAGCGCCUCGCACGCCUGCUGUAUCUCCAUGAAC